CCUACGGGAGGCAGCAGUGGGGAAUCUUGCGCAAUGGGCGAAAGCCUGACGCAGCCAUGCCGCGUGAAUGAUGAAGGUCUUAGGAUUGUAAAAUUCUUUCACCGAGGACGAUAAUGACGGUACUCGGAGAAGAAGCCCCGGCUAACUUCGUGCCAGCAGCCGCGGUAAUACGAAGGGGGCUAGCGUUGCUCGGAAUUACUGGGCGUAAAGGGAGCGUAGGCGGAUAGUUUAGUCAGAGGUGAAAGCCCAGGGCUCAACCUUGGAAUUGCCUUUGAUACUGGCUAUCUUGAGUACGGAAGAGGUAUGUGGAACUCCGAGUGUAGAGGUGAAAUUCGUAGAUAUUCGGAAGAACACCAGUGGCGAAGGCGACAUACUGGUCCGUUACUGACGCUGAGGCUCGAAAGCGUGGGGAGCAAACAGGAUUAGAUACCCUGGUAGUCCACGCUGUAAACGAUGAGUGCUAGUUGUCGGCAUGCAUGCAUGUCGGUGACGCAGCUACGCAUAAGUACGACUCCGCCGUCGGGGAGGUACGGGUCGGUCGAAGAAGUUAAAACUUAACUAAAUUAGUUAAGUUAGUUACGGCGUUGAGACGUUGCCGACGGACGACCGACGAGGGGAGGUUAGGG
rnacentral:rRNA from 1 species